rnacentral:rRNA from 1 species
UACGUAGGGGGCGAGCGUUGUCCGGAUUUACUGGGCGUAAAGCGCGUGUAGGCGGUCGGCCAAGUCCGGGGUGAAAGGCGGGGGCUCAACCCCCGAGCUGCGCCGGAAACUGGUCGACUUGAGUGUCGGAGAGGGGAGUGGAAUUCUCGGUGUAGCGGUGAAAUGCGUAGAGAUCGAGAGGAACACCCGUGGCGAAGGCGGCUCCCUGGCCGAACACUGACGCUGAGACGCGAAAGCGCGGGGAGCGAACGGG